GACGAACGCUGGCGGCGUGCUUAACACAUGCAAGUCGAACGGAAAGGCCUCUUUCGGGGGGUACUCGAGUGGCGAACGGGUGAGUAACACGUGAGUAACCUGCCCUUGACUUUGGGAUAACUUCAGGAAACUGGGGCUAAUACCGGAUAGGAGCUCCUGCUGCAUGGUGGGGGUUGGAAAGUUUCGGCGGUUGGGGAUGGACUCGCGGCUUAUCAGCUUGUCGGUGGGGUAGUGGCUUACCAAGGCUUUGACGGGUAGCCGGCCUGAGAUGGUGACCGGCCACAUUGGGACUGAGAUACGGCCCAGACUCCUACGGGAGGCAGCAGUGGGGAAUAUUGCACAAUGGGUGGAAGCCGGAUGCAGCAACGCCGUGUGCGGGAGGACGGCCUUCGGGUUGUAAACCGCUUUCGCUCAUGACGAAGCUUUGUGUGACGGUAGUGGGUAAAGAAGCACCGGCUAACUACGUG
rnacentral:rRNA from 1 species